AUGGCCCCUGUGACUGAGGAUAAGCUUCUUGCGCAACGGCUCCCUGCGAGAUCGCUCUCGAUGCUAAAACCCUAAACUUUCGGGAGACGGAAGAGAGAAGGUGGAUGUUGAUUUGAGAAUACUUUUGAAACAAGAAGCAAGAAUUAGCAUUCAGAAAGAUGGCAUCCUUCUCGCAUUCAUGGCUCUUUCGAGAUCAGUUGGUGGGGAAUUUAAGGUCAGUUGAUUUUGGUAUUUGUGUGAAACCCUGUAGUAGAAAGUUCCAGUUCCAGACACCAUUCGUAGGUGUAAACAAUUCAAGGAAGCAAAACAUUCUUAUUCAAUCAAGUCCAUCCUCUUGGAAAAAGGACAAAAUAUUUCAUGAAAUUAAAUGUGCAAAUAAGGAUGGGAAAUUUGAUCCUUCAUCGAUCGAACCACCACCAUACUAUAGUUACAUGGAUUCAACGUCUGGCCAGCUUGAACCAGCAUCUGGUGCCCGAGCAAGCAUUCCUGGAAGGGAAUAUUGGCCCGAAGGAACAGCUAGUCGCGUGGCUGCUGCCAGGGCCCCAGAACCUCCUGGCAAGUCUGAUGGGAAGCCUUCAUAUGGUAAAAAUCCUGGUAGCAGGCGGAGGAAAUACAAGGGCCAGGCAACUGCUUCAGAAGCUGCAGAAACUAUUUCAGAUAUGAGCAACCAACCUGUUCUUGAGACAUCAGAGCCAGGCGGUUCUGUUGAUGAACCUAUAGACCCAUCUGAAGCAUAUGUUAUUUAUCAGACAGAACCAGAGCAAGAGAACAUGAGUUCUUAUGAGUUGGACAAAGAAAUGGGACGACCACAUCCAUUUGUUGAUCCAGCUUUAGAUAAACCCAUAGAAGAGCCUCGUACGAGUGAAGAUCUUUGGUGGAAUUGGCGAAAACCAGAAAAAGAGCAAUGGUCAAGGUGGCAAAGGAGGCGUCCAGAUGUUGACACGGUUUUUGCAAAGGCUAUGGCAGAAACUGGGCAAAUAAAGUUGUACGGGGACCACCCAACACAAACUGAAACUGCUCUUGCAAGAGCAAGAAGGCAUAUAUUCAAGGAGGAAAGACUACAAGCAGAACAGAGGAGAUUGGAAGAAAUUGGGCCAAUAGCAUACUAUUCAGAAUGGGUCAAAGCAUGGGACAGGGACACUUCACGAGAGGCUGUACAGAAACACUAUGAAGAAACUGGUGAGGAUGUGAACAUUCAACUAAUCGAAAUGUUUGAACAUCAAACUGCCGAAGAAUAUCGCAUCAUGAUGGGCACUGACAUUCGCAUUAAGCGAGAUCCAUUAGCAAUGCGGAUGCGAGAAGAUCUAAUCAAAGAGAUAUGGGGUGGUGAUCCUGUUUAUCCGACUAUCAAUUAUAUUCAAGAUCCUGAUGAAGUAAUUGAUUACAGGGGACCGGAUUUUCAUGAGCCGACACCAAAUAUGCUGGCUUAUCUUAUGGAGCAAGGGAAAAUAAUACCAAGGCAGGAGCUUGAGAAAAUUUUGGCCAAGGAGAAAACCCAAGAACUAGAGGUCACUGACAUGGAUGAAGCUAUGGCAAGUGCUGUUGACAUUGGAGAGGAUGAUGAUGAAGAUGAGGGUGAGGAAGAAGACGAAAAAGUUGAGGAGAAAAUUACUCGUAACUGGAGCGUUCUUAAAACUACUCCUCAGCUGCACAACUCAAAGGAAAAACCAAAGAAGGAAGGCUCCAUGUCUCUAGAAGAGGCUAUAGAUGACUCAGAGAACUUAACUGAUUUCCUUAUGGACUUUGAUGAAGAGGAGUAAUAUUUAAAUUUCGACCAGCAAUUGUUCUACCCAUAUGACUGUGUAAACAACUUUGAGCCGUGGCCUCGGGGCCGACGCGGCUCGGUUCGGGUCCGGACGAUGGGGGAUCUCCCGGGGACGUGUCUCGGGACUAUUGAGGUGGCCGCUUGUGGGGGUCCGAUUGGGACGGAGUCGCUAUCCUCUCCGGGCAGGAACUCCUCGUCUGCGCGUCUCGCGGGGACCUUCGGCUUCGCUCCUGCACAAAGGUCGGGUCGGGGUGCUCAGCCCGACCCCUCCGACGAUCAAGUUAGAUGAUGUGAAGGGGAUUUUAGAUGAAUAAGUCUUUUUGGUCUCUCCUCCUCCCUUUCCGUUAAGAAUGCGAGGGUAUUUAUAGGGAAGCUUACUGUUUCCUGAUGUGCCCGUUUGCAGGGGGCAGGCUGAUAACGUCUGACAAUGGUAUUGACGUGGUGUGAAGAACCGAGCCUGAGCAGGUGUUAAUGCGCCUCGGCCGGCGUUCUGAUCCGUUUGACCAGGUGCUGUCGCAUCGAUCGAGGCAUGAGGCAUCAUAUGACGUAUGAGCUCUAGUUGGCAUGUCACAGGACCAUGGAGGGUUUAAUGAACAUAAUUUGAAGAUUGCUGACAUCCCAUUCAAGUUAUAAAAUCUGAUGCAUCACAAACAGCAACAAUCAUGACAACAUGGUGAUCUUUUAUUAUUGCAAGGUGAAACCUACCCUGCCUGAGUUUAUUGGGGGAUCUUAAGGAUGUAUAAUAGUUGGGAACCGAAGGUGUGGGGUUGUCCGACUUUGAUUGCAGGAUAAAGCAGUAUCCAAAAUCCCAUGUAUUGUUGUGUUGACUCAAACUCUCAUGGUCAAUCAGAGAAGCGUGUGAAAAGACCCACCCUGUACAUCCAAGUGAUGUAGAGACUUUGACACAUUCCUGUGACACUAAAUGUUUGAGAGUUCUUAUCUCGUGUUUAUAUAUUAAUUUUCUUGUGGUUGGGCUGA